rnacentral:rRNA from 1 species
CCUACGGGAGGCAGCAGUGAGGAAUAUUGGUCAAUGGGCGCGAGCCUGAACCAGCCAAGUCGCGUGAGGGAAGACGGUCCUAUGGAUUGUAAGCCUCUUUUGUCGGGGAGCAAAAGACGCCACGCGUGGCGUUCCGAGAGUACCCGAAGAAAAAGCAUCGGCUAACUCCGUGCCAGCAGCCGCGGUAAUCCGGAGGUUGCGGGGGUUAUCCGGAUUUAUUGGGUUAAAAGGGUGCGCAGGCGGAAGAUCAAGUCAGCGGUAAAAUUGAGAGGCUCAACCUCUUCGAGCGGUGGAAACUGGUUAUCUGGAGUGAGUGAGAGGUAUGCGGAAUGCGUGGUGUAGCGGUGAAAUGCAUAGAUAUCACGCAGAACUCCGAUUGCGAAGGCAGCAUACCGGCGCUCAACUGACGCUCAUGCACGAAAGUGUGGGUAGCGAACAGGAUUAGAUACCCGGGUAGUC